CCUACGGGCGGCAGCAGUGAGGAAUAUUGGUCAAUGGGCUUACGCCUGAACCAGCCAAGUCGCGUGAGGGAAUAAUGCCCUACGGGUUGUAAACCUCUUUUGCCAGGGAGCAAUUGGGGCUACGUGUAGCGUCACCGAGAGUACCUGAAGAAAAAGCAUCGGCUAACUCCGUGCCAGCAGCCGCGGUAAUACGGAGGAUGCGAGCGUUAUCCGGAUUUAUUGGGUUUAAAGGGUGCGUAGGCGGACUGCGAAGUCAGCGGUAAAAUUGCGGGGCUCAACCUCGUCCCGCCGUUGAAACUGGGGUUCUUGAGUGGGCGAGAAGAAGGCGGAAUGCGUGGUGUAGCGGUGAAAUGCAUAGAUAUCACGCAGAACCCCGAUUGCGAAGGCAGCAUACCGGCGCCCAACUGACGCUGAGGCACGAAAGCGUGGGUAUCGAACAGGAUUAGAUACCCGGGUAGUC
rnacentral:rRNA from 1 species